rnacentral:rRNA from 1 species
UGAAUACGAGACACUAAGGUGUUGAAGUAGUGUAUGUCAUACUUCCAAGAAAAGCUUGCACUGUCAUAAGUAAAAAAUGCCUGUACCAUAACCGACACAGGUGGGUAGGUAAAGUAUACUAAGGGGCGCGAGAUAACUCUCUCUAAGGAACUCGGCAAAAUAACUCCGUAACUUCGGGAGAAGGAGUGCCUUAUUUAUAAGGUUGCAAUAACAAGAUCCAAGCAACUGUUUAUCAAAAACACAGGUCUCCGCUAAGUCGUAAGACGAUGUAUGGGGGCUGACGCCUGCCCAGUGCCAGAAGGUUAAAGAAGUUGGUUAGCAAUAGCGAAGCUGGUAACUGAAGCCCUGGUGAACGGCGGCCGUAACAAUAACGGUCCUAAGGUAGCGAAAUUCCUUGUCGGGUAAGUUCCGACCCGCACGAAAGGCGUAAUGAUUUGGAUACUGUCUCGGAGAGGGGCUCGGUGAAAUAGACUUGUCUGUGAAGAUGCGGACUACCUGCACCAGGACAGAAAGACCCUAUGAAGCUUUACUGUAACUUGAAAUUGAAAUUGGACUUUAUUCGCGCAGCAUAGGUGGGAGGCGUUGAUUAUAAUCUCGCGGGAUUAUUGGAGCCAUCAGUGAGAUACCACUCUUGUAAUGUUAGAUUUCUAACUUUGAAUCAUUAUCUGGUCAAAGGACAGUUUCAGGCGGGCAGUUUGACUGGGGCGGUCGCCUCCUAAACGGUAACGGAGGCGUACAAAGGUUUCCUCUGAACGGUUAGAAAUCGUAUCUAGAGUGUAAAGGCAUAAGGAAGCUUGACUGUGAGACCUACAAGUCGAGCAGGGACGAAAGUCGGUCUUAGUGAUCUGACGGUACUGAGUGGAAAGGCCGUCACUCAACGGAUAAAAGUUACUCUAGGAUAACAGGCUGAUCUCCCCCAAGAGUUCACAUCGACGGGGAGGUUUGGCACCUCGAUGUCGGCUCAUCGCAUCCUGGGGCGGUAGUACGUCCCAAGGGUUGGGCUGUUCGCCCAUGAAAGCGGUACGCGAGCUGGGUUCAGAACGUCGUGAGACAGUUCGGUCCAUAUCCGGUGUAGGCGUUAGAAUAUUGAGAGGAGCCUUCUUUAGUACGAGAGGACCGAGAAGGACAUACCUCUGGUGUACCAGUUAUCGUGCCAACGGUAAACGCUGGGUAGCUAUGUAUGGAGUGGAUAACCGCUGAAAGCAUCUAAGUGGGAAGCCCACCUCAAGAUAAG